rnacentral:rRNA from 1 species
UACGGGGGGAGCAAGCGUUGUUCGGAUUUACUGGGCGUAAAGGGCGCGUAGGCGGUCGUGACAAGUCACUUGUGAAAUCUCCGGGCUUAACUCGGAACGGUCAAGCGAUACUGUCGGACUAGAGUACAGAAGGGGCAACUGGAAUUCUCGGUGUAGCGGUGAAAUGCGUAGAUAUCGAGAGGAACACCUGCGGCGAAGGCGGGUUGCUGGGCUGAUACUGACGCUGAGGCGCGAAAGCGUGGGGAGCGAACAGG